UUGACGGGGAGCACUACAACGGGUGGAGCCUGCGGUUUAAUUGGAUUCAACGCCGGAAAUCUCACCGGGGCGACAGCAAUAUGAAGGUCAGGCUGAAGACCUUACCGGAUUAGCUGAGAGGUGGUGCAUGGCCGUCGUCAGUUCGUACUGUGAAGCAUCCUGUUAAGUCAGGCAACGAGCGAGACCCACGCCCACAGUUGCCAGCGUACUCUCUGGAGUGACGGGUACACUGUGGGGACCGCCGCUGCUAAAGCGGAGGAAGGAAUGGGCAACGGUAGGUCAGUAUGCCCCGAAUAUCCCGGGCUACACGCGAGCUACAAUGGUUGGUACAAUGGGUAUCUACCCCGAAAGGGGACGGGAAUCUCCUAAAACCAAUCUUAGUUCGGAUUGAGGGCUGCAACUCGCCCUCAUGAAGCUGGAAUCCGUAGUAAUCGCGUUUCAACAGAACGCGGUGAAUACGUCCCUGCUCCUU
rnacentral:rRNA from 1 species